rnacentral:rRNA from 1 species
AGUGAACGCUGGCGGUAGGCCUAACACAUGCAAGUCGAACGGCAGCACAGUAAGAGCUUGCUCUUACGGGUGGCGAGUGGCGGACGGGUGAGGAAUACAUCGGAAUCUACUUUUUCGUGGGGGAUAACGUAGGGAAACUUACGCUAAUACCUCAUACGACCUACGGGUGAAAGCAGUGGAUCUUCGGACCUUGCGCGAUUGAAUGAGCCGAUGUCGGAUUAGCUAGUUGGCGGGGUAAAGGCCCACCAAGGCGACGAUCCGUAGCUGGUCUGAGAGGAUGAUCAGCCACACUGGAACUGAGACACGGUCCAGACUCCUACGGGAGGCAGCAGUGGGGAAUAUUGGACAAAGGGCGCAAGCCUGAUCCAGCCAUACCGCGUGGGUGAAGAAGGCCUUCGGGUUGUAAAGCCCUUUUGUUGGGAAAGAAAAGCAGCAGGUGAAUACCCCGCUGUUCUGACGGUACCCAAAGAAUAAGCACCGGCUAACUUCGUG